rnacentral:rRNA from 1 species
UACGUAGGGUGCGAGCGUAAUCGGAAUUACUGGGCGUGAAAGCGUGCGCAGGCGGUGAUGUAAGACAGAUGUGAAUCCCCGGGCUCAACCUGGGAACUGCAUUGUGACUGCAUCGCUGGAGUGCGGCAGAGGGGGAUGGAAUUCCGCGUGUAGCAGUGAAAUGCGUAGAUAUGCGGAGGAACACCGAUGGCGAAGGCAAUCCCCUGGGCCUGCACUGACGCUCAUGCACAAAGC